rnacentral:rRNA from 1 species
UACGUAGGCAGCAAGCGUUGUUCGGAUUUACUGGGCGUAAAGGGCGCGUAGGCGGCUUAACAAGUCACUUGUGAAAUCUCCGGCUUAACUCGGAACGGCCAAGUGAAACUGUCAAGCUAGAGUGCAGAAGGGGCAAUCGGAAUUCUUGGUGUAGCGGUGAAAUGCGUAGAUAUCAAGAGGAACACCUGAGGUGAAAGACGGUUUGCUGGGCUGACACGUGCGCUGAGGCGCGAAAGCCCAGGGAGCAAACGGGA